rnacentral:rRNA from 1 species
GACGAACGCUGGCGGCGUGCUUAACACAUGCAAGUCGAACGGAAAGGCCCUGCUUUUGUGGGGUGCUCGAGUGGCGAACGGGUGAGUAACACGUGAGUAACCUGCCCUUGACUUUGGGAUAACUUCAGGAAACUGGGGCUAAUACCGGAUAGGAGCUCCUGCUGCAUGGUGGGGGUUGGAAAGUUUCGGCGGUUGGGGAUGGACUCGCGGCUUAUCAGCUUGUUGGUGGGGUAGUGGCUUACCAAGGCUUUGACGGGUAGCCGGCCUGAGAGGGUGACCGGCCACAUUGGGACUGAGAUACGGCCCAGACUCCCACGGGAGGCAGCAGUGGGGAAUAUUGCACAAUGGGCGGAAGCCUGAUGCAGCAACGCCGCGUGCGGGAUGACGGCCUUCGGGUUGUAAACCGCUUUCGCCUGUGACGAAGCGUGAGUGACGGUAAUGGGUAAAGAAGCACCGGCUAACUACGUGCCAGCAGCCGCGGUGAUACGUAGGGUGCGAGCGUUGUCCGGAUUUAUUGGGCGUAAAGGGCUCGUAGGUGGUUGAUCGCGUCGGAAGUGUAAUCUUGGGGCUUAACCCUGAGCGUGCUUUCGAUACGGGUUGACUUGAGGAAGGUAGGGGAGAAUGGAAUUCCUGGUGGAGCGGUGGAAUGCGCAGAUAUCAGGAGGAACACCAGUGGCGAAGGCGGUUCUCUGGGCCUUUCCUGACGCUGAGGAGCGAAAGCGUGGGGAGCGAACAGGCUUAGAUACCCUGGUAGUCCACGCUGUAAACGGUGGGUACUAGGUGUGGGGUCCAUUCCACGGGUUCCGUGCCGUAGCUAACGCUUUAAGUACCCCGCCUGGGGAGUACGGCCGCAAGGCUAAAACUCAAAGGAAUUGACGGGGCCCCGCACAAGCGGCGGAGCAUGCGGAUUAAUUCGAUGCAACGCGUAGAACCUUACCUGGGUUUGACAUGGAUCGGGAGUGCUCAGAGAUGGGUGUGCCUCUUUUGGGGUCGGUUCACAGGUGGUGCAUGGCUGUCGUCAGCUCGUGUCGUGAGAUGUUGGGUUAAGUCCCGCAACGAGCGCAACCCUUGUUCACUGUUGCCAGCACGUUAUGGUGGGGACUCAGUGGAGACCGCCGGGGUCAACUCGGAGGAAGGUGGGGAUGACGUCAAGUCAUCAUGCCCCUUAUGUCCAGGGCUUCACGCAUGCUACAAUGGCUGGUACAGAGAGUGGCGAGCCUGUGAGGGUGAGCGAAUCUCGGAAAGCCGGUCUCAGUUCGGAUUGGGGUCUGCAACUCGACCUCAUGAAGUCGGAGUCGCUAGUAAUCGCAGAUCAGCAACGCUGCGGUGAAUACGUUCCCGGGGCU